rnacentral:rRNA from 1 species
AGUCGAACGAUGAUCAGGAGCUUGCUCCUGUGAUUAGUGGCGAACGGGUGAGUAACACGUGAGUAACCUGCCCCUGACUCUGGGAUAAGCGUUGGAAACGACGUCUAAUACUGGAUAUGAUCACUGGUCGCAUGGCCUGGUGGUGGAAAGAUUUUUUGGUUGGGGAUGGACUCGCGGCCUAUCAGCUUGUUGGUGAGGUAAUGGCUCACCAAGGCGACGACGGGUAGCCGGCCUGAGAGGGUGACCGGCCACACUGGGACUGAGACACGGCCCAGACUCCUACGGGAGGCAGCAGUGGGGAAUAUUGCACAAUGGGCGAAAGCCUGAUGCAGCAACGCCGCGUGAGGGAUGACGGCCUUCGGGUUGUAAACCUCUUUUAGUAGGGAAGAAGGGAGCUUCGGUUCUUGACGGUACCUGCAGAAAAAGCACCGGCUAACUACGUGCCAGCAGCCGCGGUAAUACGUAGGGUGCAAGCGUUGUCCGGAAUUAUUGGGCGUAAAGAGCUCGUAGGCGGUUUGUCGCGUCUGCUGUGAAAUCCCGAGGCUCAACCUCGGGCUUGCAGUGGGUACGGGCAGACUAGAGUGCGGUAGGGGGGAUUGGAAUUCCUGGUGUAGCGGUGGAAUGCGCAGAUAUCAGGAGGAACACCGAUGGCGAAGGCAGAUCUCUGGGCCGUAACUGACGCUGAGGAGCGAAAGCAUGGGGAGCGAACAGGAUUAGAUACCCUGGUAGUCCAUGCCGUAAACGUUGGGCGCUAGAUGUAGGGACCUUUCCACGGUUUCUGUGUCGUAGCUAACGCAUUAAGCGCCCCGCCUGGGGAGUACGGCCGCAAGGCUAAAACUCAAAGGAAUUGAC